UGUAAUAAGUUGCGUAAUAAGCCGUGUAAUAAGCAGGAUAAUGUAGAGUAAACUGGUCAUUAUUGCAAAUCAAACCCUUUCAGGCUGAUUCAAGAACUCUCCUCUUCAGUCCUCCA